GUGGUUGUGAUGAUUGAAAGAAAAUUCCUUGUGUUGAAUAAGUUAUGGCGAUGGCGAUGGCAUGAUAGGCUGGCUUACACCCAUAGAAUAUGAGCGCC